rnacentral:rRNA from 1 species
AUUGAACGCUGGCGGCAGGCCUAACACAUGCAAGUCGAACGAGUGGCGGACGGGUGAGUAAUGUCUGGGAAACUGCCCGAUGGAGGGGGAUAACUACUGGAAACGGUAGCUAAUACCGCAUACCAUCGGAUGUGCCCAGAUGGGAUUAGAUUGUAGGUGGGGUAACGGCUCACCUAGGCGACGAUCCCUAGCUGGUCUGAGAGGUUGACCAGCAAAACUGGCACUGAGACACGGUCCAGACUCCUACGGGAGGGCGCAUUGGGGAAUAUGGAAAAAUGGGCGCAAGCCUGAUGCAGCUAUGCCGCGUGUAUGAAGAAGGCCUUCGGGUUGUAAAGUACUUUCCGCGGGGAGGCGUUACCCGCAGAAGAAGCACCGGCUAACUCCGUGCCAGCAGCCGCGGUAAUUC